rnacentral:lncRNA from 1 species
AGAUCGAACUCGGGACCUUGCACUUGCGAGGCAGGUGGUGGAACCACUGAGCUAAGUCCCCAGCCCUAUAACAACUUCUUGGGGCAGGUGUUACUAUUACCCACUUGGCCAGGCAUGGUGGUGCGCGCCUGCCAUCCCAGCACUCAGGAGGCUGAGACAGGAGGAUUGCGGAGCCCACCCAGGCUACACAGUGAGUUCAAAGCCAGCCUGAACUACAUAACAAGACCCUGUCUCAAAAAGCCAAGAAACAAACAAAAAAAAAGAAAUGACAAAUGUUUAAGAAAAGGAAAAUGCACACUGCUUUGAUUUGAUCGUGACACAUUUUGUACGUAUAUUGACUUAUCACACCGUACCCCAUAAAUAUGUACCAGUAUUCUGUGUCAGUUAAAAAUAAAAAUAGAAAAAAAUUAGAAUUGAACAAUGAUGAGAUAACUAGGUAGGAGAGAAAAGGUUUCUAAACCCCACACCCGCUUCCUCUUGCCAGACUGUCCAGCUGUGGGUGGCCCCUGCUUGCCUACCCUGGGUACCCCACUCCCAUGACUGGCAGGGGCACAUGGGAGAGGUACGCUGGUCUUUGGGGCGGGAGGCUGAGGCAGGAAAUCAACCUUAGCAUUAUAUUCCUCCUGGUGCAUUCUCAACUUCCUCGCAGUAUUUGUCUCAAUGGCAAAAACAACAACAACAAUAAUAAUAAUAACCACCACAGUUUGGCAGGCUGACCUGGAGCGGCCAGCACUGCCCGUCACCCCCACCGCUCCCCAUAGUAAGGACUGAGCCGGGGACCUUUGCCCUGAGCUGCACCCCAGCCCCUUUUUAAUUUUUUUUAUCUUGAUAUAAGAUCUCCCUAAAUUGCCUGGGCUUGGAUUGUGACGUGGGACCCUCCUGCCUCAGCCUCCCCAGAGUGCCAGGAUGACAGGCGGGCGUCGCCAUGCCCAGCUUUCCUGUGUCUUUCUUGAGUGGUCCUCAGCAGUGAAACGCAGGGAGGAGUCCUGGAUUGACCAAGGGAGUCCUGAGCCUUCCCAGAAGACCCGCCUGCCUGGAACCCCCCAGAGUCCAGGGGACCUGAUCCAAAAGCAGGCUUCGCUGCGACAGUCCGCUCCCUCUGUCCGUGAUCUGCCCCUUCGUCCCAGCCCAGCCCCCAGCCCUGCCGGGGGCUGACCCGGUGCAACCCCCCUCACGCAACCGAGUUCCUAAUUUGGCCCAUCCAAAGUUCCCAGCCCCG